AUCCUACGGGGGGCAGCAGUAGGGAAUCUUCCACAAUGGGCGAAAGCCUGAUGGAGCAACGCCGCGUGGGUGAAGAAGGUCUUCGGAUCGUAAAACCCUGUUGUUAGAGAAGAAAGUGCGUGAGAGUAACUGUUCACGUUUCGACGGUAUCUAACCAGAAAGCCACGGCUAACUACGUGCCAGCAGCCGCGGUAAUACGUAGGUGGCAAGCGUUAUCCGGAUUUACUGGGUGUAAAGGGAGAGUAGGUGGCAGAGCAAGUCCGAAGUGAAAACCCAAAGCUCAACUAUGGGAAUGCUUUAGAAAC
rnacentral:rRNA from 1 species